UAGAGGCUGCUUUAAACUGCAUCCAGUAAAUUGUCUUUUUUAAUUGUCCAUUUGUUUUGCAUGAAUAUACCCUCAUAAUAUGAUGUCACAAUAUUUAAAGAGUCAGUUCACCCAAAUAGGAAAAUUCUGUCAUUAAUUACUCACCCUCUAGUCGUUUCAGGCCUUCGUUCAUCUUCGGAACACAUUUACGAUUUGGUGCCAUUUUGGAGAAUAUCUCAGCUGCGUCACGCCGGAACUGUUUCCUAUGUUGUUGUGAUUUGAUCUGAACAGAAACAGCGAAUCGGCGUGACGCAGCUGAGAUAUUCUCCAAAAUGGCACCAGGGUGAUGCGGAGAAGACAAAUUGUUGAAUAAAGUCUUUUUUUUUUUGCUGUUGCACACAAAAAGUAUUCUUGUAGCUUUGUAUAAUUGCAUAUGAACCACUGAUGUCACAUGGAUUAAUUCACAGAUCUUCUUGCUACAUUUCUGGACUUGGGAACAUUUCAGUUGUGUUGCUGUCUAUGCAGGGUCAGACAGCUCCAGAUUCUAUCAAACAUAUCUUAAUUUGUGUUCUGAAGAUGAACGAAGGUCUUACGGGUUUGAAACAACACAAGGGAGAAGGGACUGAACUGGUAAUAGCUAGUGCUGUUUUAUAAGGUCCAGCAUGCAAUUCACCCAGGCCCCGCCGCCGGUAUUGAAUGAGAUUGCUCAGCACUUCACUGUUCUCUAGCUGACUCAAGGCUAACGGUGAUGGACAAACCCUGAGAGACUGAGGCCAAAUGCACACAAAUAUAACUGUGGAGUGAAUGAAAACUGCAUUGAUUGCUUUUCAAUGCAGUGUCAGUGUUGCUUUUGUUGACUAUCGGAUCAAUUCCAUUUGUGACUGUGCAUGUCAUUCAGGACACGUCCUUUGUUUUAGUGCAUAUACUGUGGGCAUUUAUAAUUUAAAGGCUUUCUCUUCCAGGUAAACGAAUGCAUUUUUUUUUAUUAUAUCUUGUACUGCACUUUCCCAAAUGUCCUUCCACUUAUUUUAUGAAUACCACCUGCCUCUGACUAACAAAUCAUCGUUUUACAGUGUCUUUAGUCUUGAUAAUGGCUGGCCUUUUUAUGAGUAUGUGGUUGUAAUUUAUUCAUUUGAAGUGCCUUCAUACAGUAGGUUUUGUCCAUAGUUCAAGCUGUGUUUAGUAACUGAUAGGCUUUGACAGGAACAAAAGGUUAUAUGAGGUUAUAUAUAUAUAUAUAUAUAUAUAUAUAUAUAUAUAUAUAUACAGUAUUAUCC
ensembl:lncRNA